GGUUCUAUAGUGUAGCGGUUAUCACUCCGGAUUCUGAUGAUCAUCUUUCCGGCAACCCCGGUUCGAUUCCGGGUAGGACCU